rnacentral:lncRNA from 1 species
AUCCUGUUCUGCCGACUAUAUGAGCUAGCUUGAGAGAAAAGUAAAGUUUGCCACUUGAUCAGAAUCCUGUCUUGUGGUCAUUCUUUUUGCGUCUUUUGUCCCCAUUCCCUAUCCCUGACUCUCUUGCCCCAGGUUGAUGUCCUGCAGGUCAGGACAACUGGUGCCCAAAGUGAGGCUGGAUAGAGUUGGGGAUCUGGGAACUUCAGUGCUCAUUAGAGGGACGGCCUGUCCAUGCAGUGAGGCGUCCAAGACAAGGUCUAUUGUGAGCCUCGGUUGGAGGAAGACCCAGCAGCCUGCCCAGCACUUGGGACUUUCGGUUCAUGAGCACCAACUACAUGGAAAAGUGAGUAGGGAAAGGCCAAGACAGCUAGAAGAGCUUGCUCAAGCUGGAACUACUGAUUCUACUCAGGAGAGAGGCUUGAUUGAAGGGCCAACAGGCCCUCAGCCAAUCAUCUCACUGUACCCUCUCCACCCAGAACAUGUGCCUUCCAGGGAAGCAUGCAUAUAUGACCAGUUAGAAGGUCCAGAUGCACCACCUUACUCUAAUGGAUGCUGACAUCGCGGUGAGGGGAUUUCAGGAUGUUUCUGCCUAUGACUCCACUGAUUUCUCAUUUUUAUCAAAGCUCAAACUAAAAUUAAUACUAAGUUCAGUGACAG